rnacentral:lncRNA from 1 species
GCGCCUGUUUUUGGUGCCAUGACGUGCCGAGGUGUAUGCAGUGUUGUUCCAUGCUCACGGCAGUUCAGAGAUGAAGUUGGGGGGUCGGGCGACCCCCCCACACUUGCAGUUUUCGUGCAGCUGAACUUACAACAGAGAGAGACGAUCAAAUGCAGACGUCCUGCUGGUGGCAACACACCAGCAGGACCAAAAACAACUCUAUUAAAUCAAAUUUCAAUUGUAUAGGCACUUUUACAUUGUGAAAUUCAAAGUGACAAAUUGGAAAAUAAAAUUGAGUAAUCAAACCUAAAUAAUCAAAUAGUGCCUAUAACCUAAACUAACUAAUUUAUUUAGGGAGAUGGAGGUUUGAGGAGAUCCUCCCGCCCAAUUGCUUGUGCCAAACGCUUGAUUUUAGCGCUGGUGCUAAUGCGCAGGUGGCGGAAGUGAUCUUCUAACUCAAGAUUCUCCAUCCUGAGCUCCGACACUGUCUCCUCUAAGAUCCUAUUUUUCUUUC